rnacentral:ncRNA from 1 species
AUCGGGAGGGGAUGAAUACAACACCCUUUCGGGGGAAAUAAGUCCACCGUUCCUGUUAUACGGCUUUCAGCCUCCUGAUCGCCCUUU